rnacentral:rRNA from 2 species
UACGUAGGGGGCAAGCGUUGUCCGGAUUUAUUGGGCGUAAAGAGCGUGUAGGCGGCUAAAUAGGUCCGUUGUGAAAACUCGAGGCUCAACCUCGAGAUGCCGAUGGAAACCAUUUGGCUAGAGUCCGGAAGAGGAGAGUGGAAUUCCCGGUGUAGCGGUGAAAUGCGCAGAUAUCGGGAAGAACACCCGUGGCUAAGGCGGCUCUCUAGUACGGUACUGACGCUGAGACGCGAAAGCGUGGGGAGCGAACAGG